UACGUAGGGUGCAAGCGUUGUCCGGAAUCAUUGGGCGUAAAGAGCGUGUAGGCGGCCCGAUAAGUCCGCUGUGAAAGUCCAGGGCUCAACCCUGGAAUGCCGGUGGAUACUGUCGGGCUCGAAUCCGGAAGAGGUGAGUGGAAUUCCUGGUGUAGCGGUGAAAUGCGCAGAUAUCGAGAGGAACACCUGCGGCGAAGGCGGGUUGCUGGGCUGAUACUGACGCUGAGGCGCGAAAGCCAGGGGAGCGAACGGG
rnacentral:rRNA from 1 species